CAACAAGACAAUAGAAGCCUACAUCUUGCCCAAGAUAAUUAGCUUACAUGCUGAUGACAAGGGACAUCACUUCUCACAGAUGGAGAGUCUAGAAAGGAAUGAGUGGGGGAUGUGGUCAGACUCAAAGAUUUGGACAGGUGGAGUCAUACUGGAGCCCUACACAAUAGACCUCCAAGGGAGCAAAGAGAUCAAAGACAAUAUAGAAGGAAGAGAAAACAGAAAAUCCAAGCAGUGGAGA